rnacentral:rRNA from 1 species
UACGUAGGGGGCAAGCGUUGUCCGGAUUUAUUGGGCGUAAAGAGCGUGUAGGCGGCCAAGCAGGUCCGCUGUGAAAACUCGAGGCUCAACCUCGAGACGUCGGUGGAAACCGUUUGGCUAGAGUCCGGAAGAGGAGAGUGGAAUUCCCGGUGUAGCGGUGAAAUGCGCAGAUAUCGGGAAGAACACCCGUGGCGAAGGCGGCUCUCUGGGACGGUACUGACACUGAGACGCGAAAGCGUGGGGAGCAAACAGG